CCGUGCUAGACGGGGAGGUAGCGGCACCCUGCACCCGCAAUCCGCUACAGCGGGGUUGAACUCCCAUCCGCGGGGCGGUCCUGUGGGGUCUGCCUCCGGCGUGGAGCGACGACGACUGGGACCCGCGCAACAGGGUUUUGUGAACCCCGUCAGGUCCGGAAGGAAGCAGCGGUAAACAAACUCCCCUGUGUGCCGUGGGCCAACCUGGUCUGAGCCACCUGCCGGGGUUACGCCUGGAGGAUUCGUCACAACGAUGGGUGCACGG
rnacentral:SRP_RNA from 1 species